GAUGAACGCUGGCGGCGUGCCUAAUACAUGCAAGUCGAGCGAACAGACGAGGAGCUUGCUCCUCUGACGUUAGCGGCGGACGGGUGAGUAACACGUGGAUAACCUACCUAUAAGACUGGGAUAACUUCGGGAAACCGGAGCUAAUACCGGAUAAUAUAUUGAACCGCAUGGUUCAAUAGUGAAAGACGGUUUUGCCGUCACUUAUAGAUGGAUCCGCGCCGCAUUAGCUAGUUGGUAAGGUAACGGCUUACCAAGGCAACGAUGCGUAGCCGACCUGAGAGGGUGAUCGGCCACACUGGAACUGAGACACGGUCCAGACUCCUUCGGGAGGCAGCAGUAGGGAAUCUUCCGCAAUGGGCGAAAGCCUGACGGAGCAACGCCGCGUGAGUGAUGAAGGUCUUCGGAUCGUAAAACUCUGUUAUUAGGGAAGAACAAAUGUGUAAGUAACUAUGCACGUCUUGACGGUACCUAAUCAGAAAGCCACGGCUAACUACGUG
rnacentral:rRNA from 1 species